UUCACGAAAGCUAUACUGUCUCCUUUGUCCAAUCAGUUAAAAUAAUCUCCCCGCGAAGAAGCGGGGAUAUACCUAUAAGACGAGAAGACCCUGUGGAGCUUUAAACACCUUAAAACAUUUGUCAUUCUACUUCACAACUUCCAGAAAACUUUACUAAACCCAACACUCUGUUUUAGGUUUUAGGUUGGGGUGACCACGGAGUAAAACUUAACCUCCACGUAGAAAGAAACUCCCUUUCUAAGCAAAAAGCUACAUCUUUAUGCAUCAAAAUAUUGACUUAAAUUGACCCAAUUAUUUGAUCAACGAACCAAGUUACCCUAGGGAUAACAGCGCAAUCCGCUUAAGAGCUCCAUCACAAGCGGGCUAGGACCUCGAUUUGGAU
rnacentral:rRNA from 1 species